rfam:Saccharicrinis fermentans DSM 9555 = JCM 21142 DNA, contig: JCM21142.contig00019.
GGGGCUGACUUGGAUUCGACAGCAGGUGAAAGUGGUAUGUAAGCAUGCAGAGCACAGGAAUUCCGGCUCUUUAAUCACGGGUUUCAACUUUUUAAUUGGCGAAAAUAAUUACGCUCUUGCAGCUUAAUCGAAGUAUAGUAGAUUAGCAUUAUUCGGUAUAAGAUACUGAAACAAGACAUCUCGUAAGUGCUAUCUUCCUGAGGCGGCUUACAUCAGAGAUGCUGGAAAAUCGGGAACCGGCAAUAGUUUUCUUCGCAUUAUUGCUUAAAUAAAGAAGAUAAGGUAGCAGUCGGUGGCUUUGAUCCAGCUGUUAUUCGAAAAUUAAGUCAAAGCUAAGCAUGUAGAAAGCAUAUGGCUUCCUUGACUGGACCAGGGUUCGAAACCCUGCAGCUCCACAA